ensembl:lncRNA uncharacterized LOC105013933
GUGGGAGCCUGCUGGGUUAAGGAAGAAUUAGAGCGCAGAUCGUGAGGCUUACAGUAUAAAGGACAUUCUAUUUCAUUUCAUGCUUAGAGGGGAUAAGUGAAACAGGCAGAAUAGACACAUACACACACGGAAACACACUCACAAUCAUUCAGUCAUCUUAUCCAAGGAUUCCACAUCUCCGAACUCUUACCUGGAUUUCGCCUCUAAAACCGGAUCAGCUACCACGCCCUAACCUGCAUUCAACUUCCUGUCUACCUGGACACCUGCAUCCAUCUGCACGCCAUUCUCCCUGCCAGAAUUCCGUCCAUACUCACCUUAUACGCUUUUCUGUUUGACCAUUAAACCACCAUUCUCUGUCACUUCUUGUCCUUGUCUGCUUUUG